UGGCACUCCCCCAAAUCGAUCCAUUAGCCCUCCUCCAAACCCCGACGCCGCCAGAUUGAAUCAACCCGGCCACAGUGGCUCGCUCGCCGCCACGACCUGCAGCCUUCGAAGUCAACUUACUCCUACAGCCUUCGUUCCCUGCACCAGCUGGUGUGUAUUGUGUGCAAUCGUAGGUACAUGGUGGUUGGCUUGAGGUAGCACCGUAAAAGAUUGGAGAGAAAAUCUUGGUCUAUAAGCACUGGAAACCAGGUCAUGACCGGAGGGUUUUUAACCGAUAAACAGGCUUCUUACGGUGAUCGGCUAAAGUUUUGUCACCAGCCCGCACUUCUAAAAUGAGCCCCGGUUUGGUAAGAGCGGAUGUCAUGAUAGAGUUUUGUCACCAGCCUCCCAACCACCUCUACGAUGUCUCAAUAAUUUCAUGUCUGAGGCUGUUGAAUGCUUGGUUUUAAAAAGCGAGAGGCGCACAAAAUGUACCACGUUCUUCUGACCUACAAACAGUUUCUAUGCCAUAUGUAAUAUAAAGCCUAUUGAUACUCGCGAAAUGCUAACUAGUAUCUAGAAGACAAGCAGCUCAUUUCAGGAGUCAACUACUGCCACAAUAUGUGUUGUGCAGUUUUAAAGGGUAUGUAUGUCUUUUGUUUCUGGGGUGGUGCAGGGAGGACAUGAGCAUAAGGCUUCUCUUUAGUUGCAAUGGAAUUAAAAUCAGUAUCGUCAACAUUUAUCAAGUAAUCAAUAUCAGGGUAUAAUCGUUGGGUCUGAAUGAAGCCCUACAUUUUUUUUCUCAUUGCUGCUCACACUUUGUGUUGAGUUUGUAUAACCACUUGGUACCUUACUACUUUAGUUUCUCAUAACAACUUUUAUAUAUAACGAGUAUCAUAUAUAUGUAACUUAGAAUAAUGCAUAGGUCAAUGUAUGUUGAUAUAAACAAACUGCUAUGUAAUUUUUGGUUGUUUGAAUGUGAAUUACUGUU
rnacentral:lncRNA from 1 species